AGAGUUUGAUCCUGGCUCAGAUUGAACGCUGGCGGCAUGCCUAACACAUGCAAGUCGAACGGCAGCACGGGGGCAACCCUGGUGGCGAGUGGCGGACGGGUGAGGAAUGCAUAGGAAUCUGCCCAGUUGUGGGGGAUAACGUAGGGAAACUUACGCUAAUACCGCAUACGACCUACGGGUGAAAGAGGGGGACCUUCGGGCCUCUCGCGAUUGGAUGAGCCUAUGCCGGAUUAGCUAGUUGGCGGGGUAAGAGCCCACCAAGGCGACGAUCCGUAGCUGGUCUGAGAGGAUGAUCAGCCACACUGGAACUGAGACACGGUCCAGACUCCUACGGGAGGCAGCAGUGGGGAAUAUUGGACAAUGGGCGCAAGCCUGAUCCAGCAAUGCCGCGUGUGUGAAGAAGGCCUUCGGGUUGUAAAGCACUUUUGUUUGGGAAGAAAUCCGGUUGGAUAAUACCUGAUCGGGAUGACGGUACCAAAAGAAUAAGCACCGGCUAACUUCGUGCCAGCAGCCGCGGUAAUACGAAGGGUGCAAGCGUUAAUCGGAAUUACUGGGCGUAAAGCGUGCGUAGGUGGUUUGUUAAGUCAGAUGUGAAAGCCCUGGGCUCAACCUGGGAACUGCAUUUGAUACUGGCAGGCUAGAGUGCGGUAGAGGGUGGUGGAAUUCCCGGUGUAGCGGUGAAAUGCGUAGAGAUCGGGAGGAACAUUCGUGGCGAAGGCGGCCACCUGGACCAGCACUGACACUGAGGCACG
rnacentral:rRNA from 1 species